rnacentral:rRNA from 1 species
UUUCCGGUUGAUCCUGCCGGACCUGACUGCUAUCGGAUUGAUACUAAGCCAUGCGAGUCUUUGUAGUAAUACAAGGCAUACGGCUCAGUAACGCGUAGUCAACCUACCCUAUGGACAAGAAUAAUCUCGGGAAACUGAGCAUAAUUCUUGAUAGAUCAUAAUGCCUGGAAUGGUUUAUGGUUAAAAUGAUUCGUCGCCAUAGGAUGGGACUGCGGCCUAUCAGCUUGUUGGUGAGGUAAUGGCCCACCAAGGCGAUUACAGGUACGGGCUCUGAGAGGAGAAGCCCGGAGAUGGGUACUGAGACAAGGACCCAGGCCCUAUGGGGCGCAGCAGGCGAGAAAACUUUGCAAUGUGCGAAAGCACGACAAGGUUAGUCCGAGUGAUUUCUGCUAAAGAGAUCUUUUGCUAGUUAUAAAACCACUAGUGAAUAAGGGGUGGGCAAGUUCUGGUGUCAGCCGCCGCGGUAAAACCAGCACCUCAAGUGGUCAGGAUGAUUAUUGGGCCUAAAGCAUCCGUAGCCGGCUCUGUAAGUUUUCGGUUAAAUCUAUGCGCUCAACGUAUGGGCUGCCGAAAAUACUGUAGAGAUAGGGAGUGGGAGAGGUAGACGGUACUCGGUAGGAAGGGGUAAAAUCCUUUGAUCUAUCGAUGACCACCUGUGGCGAAGGCGGUCUACCAGAACACGUUCGACGGUGAGGGAUGAAAGCUGGGGGAGCAAACCGGAUUAGAUACCCGGGUAGUCCCAGCUGUAAACGAUGCAGACUCGAUGAUGCAUUGGCAUAUAGCCAGUGCAGUGUCGCAGGGAAGCCGUUAAGUCUGCCGCCUGGGAAGUACGUACGCAAGUAUGAAACUUAAAGGAAUUGGCGGGGGAGCACCACAAGGGGUGAAGCCUGCGGUUCAAUUGGAUUCAACGCCGGAA